AUUGAACGCUGGCGGCAGGCCUAACACAUGCAAGUCGAACGGUAACAGGAAGAAGCUUGCUUCUUUGCUGACGAGUGGCGGACGGGUGAGUAAUGUCUGGGAAACUGCCUGAUGGAGGGGGAUAACUACUGGAAACGGUAGCUAAUACCGCAUAACGUCGCAAGACCAAAAAGGGGGACCUUCGGGCCUCUUGCCAUCGGAUGUGCCCAGAUGGGAUUAGCUAGUAGGUGGGGUAACGGCUCACCUAGGCGACGAUCCCUAGCUGGUCUGAGAGGAUGACCAGCCACACUGGGACUGAGACACGGUCCAGACUCCUACGGGAGGCAGCAGUGGGGAAUCUUGGACAAUGGGGGCAAGCCUGAUCCAGCCAUGCCGCGUGGAUGAAGAAGGCCUUCGGGUUGUAAAGUCCUUUCAGCGGGGAGGAAGGGAGUAGAGUGAAUACCUGUGCUCAUUGACGGUACCCGCAGAAGAAGCACCGGCUAACUCCGUG
rnacentral:rRNA from 1 species